AGCAGCCGCGGUAAUUCCAGCUCCAAUAGCGUAUAUUAAAGUUGUUGCAGUUAAAAAGCUCGUAGUUGAAUUUCGAGAUCGGCCUACUGGUCGUGCUUUUGUACGUACUGGUAAAUCGGUUUCUCCUUUCUGACGAACUUUAAUGCCAUUAAUUUGGUGUUUUAGGGAAUCAGGACUGUUACCUUGAAAAAAUUAGAGUGUUUAAAGCAGGCUCACGCUUGAAUACAUUAGCAUGGAAUAACGGAAUAGGACGUUUGAUUCUAUUUUGUUGGUUUCUAGGAUCGACGUAAUGAUUAAUAGGGAUAGUUGGGGGCAUUAGUAUUCAAUUGUCAGAGGUGAAAUUCUUGGAUUUAUUGAAGACUAACUACUGCGAAAGCAUUUUGCCAAGGAUGUUUUCAUUAAUCAAGAACGAAAGUUAGGGGAUCGAAGACGAUCAGAUACCGUCGUAGUCUUAACCAUAAACUAUGCCGACUAGGGAUCGGAUGAUGUUAAUUUUUUAAUGACUCAUUCGGCGCCUUAC
rnacentral:rRNA from 1 species